ACAGACCCUGUGAAAGUGUUUCUGAGCUCUGCUCAGGUCCCCAAAUCACACUUAGAGAAUCCUUGCCCUGGGACAACCUUUUGAGUUGAUAUUAUUACCUUUAUCUAUGAUAUUUAACUUUGAAGAAACUGAACCUCAGUGAGAUUAAAAGACCUGAUAAACAUGAGAGAGGAGGACACCAAGACAAAACAGGGAAAUGGAAAAACUGGGCAGACUUUGGGACUCAUACAAUUUAGAAAAAGCAGAAGUGAUGUAAUCCAGAUAGUCUGAACCUGAUGUGAGCCUGAUCUGUAGUCACAAGGGACAAACUGGUUUAUGGACUCAUUGAAAUGGGAGAGACUACAUACCAAGAGACAUCAAACAAAAAGGUGGCGUUUUAUGAUUGAGGGGAAGGCUGGAGUUUCAGAGAAGUUUCAAGAAAG
ensembl:lncRNA